CAUUGUAUGGCCUCUUAGGUUAGGAGUGUCCUUCUUAGGAUCUAGUGUCCUUCUGCUUGCCAUCAUUGCCAGUGUUGCAUAUUGCACCAUGUACCACUGCUCUAAGGCUGGGUAUGAGUGAGUUCACAUAGCCUGAGCAAAUAGCCAUUGCUGCAACUUGUAAGUGUCUCAUCUUAUGUGAUCAACUAGCAAGAGCUGAGUCUACAUCAUGCUUUAGGUUCAUGCUUCCAAUCAUUGCUAUUAAAUGUAAAAACAGGAUGUUGUUGUUAUAGACAUAAUUAUUAAUUUGCUAAGAAAUACAUAAAUUCGUAUUCAGGAAUCGUGGUUACAUGGGUGACCUUCAACCAGACGUCACAAGUGCAGUAUGGUAUCCAUAGCGACAAGAUGGUCCUGUCGAAGACUGUGACGGGAGAUACCACAAAGUUUGUAGUGGGAGACGUGACUCACUUCAUUCACAGGACCACUCUCAGCAAUCUGGUUUCACUAGCAAAGUACGGUGUACAAUGGCUCCACGUACAGUAUUAACCGAGCCCCCUACAGACUACACAUGUGGCUCCCCUGCCAACUGGAGUCAGGUGCUCACUCUGAGAACCCUGGGAGACCAAACCUCGGUCCCUAUGCUGGCUGACAUUCUAUGGUAACUUUGGACUGGAGAAUGCUCGCUCACUCCCAUGGCUCAUUGACAAUGUUGCUAAGGAACGGUUUGAUGCUGUACUGCAUGCAGGGGGCAACUUCAAUGAGGAUAGUAUGUACAGGAGGAUGGUAGAGUGGAAGAGAUGCUUUAACUCGUUACCCCGCCCCCUCACCUCUGCAGUAACUUCACUCACUACAAUCAUCGGUUCAGUAUGCCUGGGAACAAGGAGGGACUCAUGUGCAGGUGCCCGGGAAUAAGGAGGGAUUCAUGUGCAGCUCUCUGAAGUACAGCCAUCUCGAUAAAUGGUUUGGCACGGAUUGCUAGCUUGAUGUUUACUGCACAAAACUCGCCCUAAAAUGUGGCCACUCGCUAUUUCGUAUACUGGCAGGUACUAAAGCUUUUUAAUAAAUUAUGAUGUUUGGUGUGGUUUGGUAAAUAAAAUUGGAUUAUACUUAAAUACAGAAUCGAACAAAAUCCUCUAUAUAGACAGAACCGCAAAAUUAGUUAUAUUCAAGGUAGGGUCGUUUUUAUAAGCUGCAGCUAUUUUCUGAAAUUAAUGCGACCAACUCGCUAUUCCAGCCAAACUGCACUGUACGUCCGAAUUAACAAGAGUCUACUGUAAGUUAAGCAAUGUGGUAUGAUAAUUUAUGUAUAAUAAUUAUGCAAACAUAAUUAUUAUUAUGAUGCACAUUUUUGUCCGUGGCUUGCAAUAUCACAAGAGCUGAGCUCCUCCUAAGCUACUUAGAAAGUGUAAACUUUCCCUCCUUAACAUCGUAUCAGGUGACUACGUGGGGGCUCAUACAAGCGACUGUGUCUGUGGGAUGUGGUUGAGGAGAUGCUAUACUGACUACUUUUUCUGGUCACUAGGGAAGCGUCAAGUCUGCGUUUAGUAUGUAGGCUUAUGAUUGCUUUGAACAUGUAUUUAUUUAUUAUUCCCAUUGAGAAAUACAAUUACACAUUAAUUAGAUUGUACAGCUUGUGUUCCCACCAUUCCAAUUAUUCACUCACCCUAUCCUACAAGUGGUGACAUGUUUUGUGAUGCCACCUGUUUCUAUGGCGAGUGAUCACGAUGAAGAGUGGGCAGUGGCCGUGUCAGGAAAAGAGAAUAAUGUUUGUGUACUGCAGAACCUCAUAAUUGCUUGUUAACUUGAGUUUGGAUUAGUUCCUAGACCUAUAAUUAUAGAGAGCUCUCUAUCCCAUGCAUCCUUUUGAGGGAGAACUGGGUGUGUCAACAGCUCAACAGCUAACUUUGGAUGCCCUUACUUUGCGUACUUGCGAAUAUUUGUCAGAAUUCACAUGCACCUUUAUUUACCAUUCACACAGAGCAUCUGAAAGCUUAAUGAAUUCUGAAGAUGUAUACAGACAAGCACAAUCAUCCACUCCCCCUAACAAUCACACCCGGAGCCUCCAUCACUCAAAGCCUAUGGAAUCCUAAAACCGAACUCAAUACGCUGUAAAGCCCUCCCUCCGGAUCCACCACAAAUAUAAUGGUGGGAAUGUGCUAAGGAUCUUUGUUGCUCCCCUCCAUCACAAGUCACAAAGUCAACCGUACCCCCACAAUGACCCCUACAACUAAUUCUGAAGUAACCCCCAAACAAGAAGACUGAGAAAAAACAUCGCUAUACCCCUAAACCCCAGCAAAGAAGAUCCCUUCUUAAACAAUUGUGAAACACCUUCCCAACACCUCAGCAGACUCUGCCCACCAUGUCUCUGCCCUCGGUAGUCGUAAGAGGAAGCUUAUAUUAAUUUGUCAGCCAAACAGAGCUCAAAGAAAGCGAGAACGAUAAAGAGUUGCUCAACCACCAGCUGAUUUGUUUGCCAAGAGAACUAGCGCUACACUACCUUGCAAUUGUAGCAAAUGUAUGCCUUCUCUGCUUAGUCAAACCACAAUAGAACACUUUUUGUUUCAGUAUAUAUCACAUUAAUAAUUCUUCAAACUGUUUGUUUCAUCUUUGAAAA